rnacentral:rRNA from 1 species
CAGUAGCCGCGGUAAAACGUAGGUGGCAAGCGUUGUCCGGAUUUAUUGGGCGUAAAGCAAGCGCAGGCGGUCAAUUAAGUCUGAUGUGAAAGCCCCCGGCUCAACCGGGGAGGGUCAUUGGAAACUGGUUGACUUGAGUGCAGAAGAGGAGAGUGGAAUUCCAUGUGUAGCGGUGAAAUGCGUAGAUAUAUGGAGGAACACCAGUGGCGAAGGCGACUCUCUGGUCUGUAACUGACGCUGAGGCACGAAAGCGUGGGUAGCAAACAGGAUUAGAUACCCGAGUAGUCCCUGUCUCUUAUAC